rnacentral:lncRNA from 10 species
GAGACAACACUUCUGGUGGCCAGAAAUUCAGUAUAACCAGGUUCAGAACAAACACAACUGACUCUGGGUUAGCAUAAAACUCAACCAGCAGGAGCAGAAGUCCCCAGGCAGACGCGAGCAGAGCCUGCUGGCAACCGUGAGCAUUGGUCAGCGUGGACAUUGGACAAGGGGCUUCCUUGCUCAGCCCUCAUUCCUCUAACAUGGUUCUCUCCUGUGUUCUGCAUGUAGGCCUUUGAGGAUUGGAAUAAGACAGAGCUAGACUCAUUCCUGAUUGAAAUCACAGCCAAUAUUCUCAAGUUCCAAGACACCGAUGGCAAACACCUGCUGCCAAAGAUCAGGGACAGCGCGGGGCAGAAGGGCACAGGGAAGUGGACCGCCAUCUCCGCCCUGGAAUACGGCGUACCCGUCACCCUCAUUGGAGAAGCUGUCUUUGCUCGGUGCUUAUCAUCUCUGAAGGAUGAGAGAAUUCAAGCUAG